CAGGUGAUGAUGGUGUAUGGUUAACAUACAGGUGAUGAUGGUGUUUGGUUAACAUACAGGUGAUGAUGGUGUAUGGUUAAUAUACAGGUAAUGAUGGUGUAUGGUUAACAUACAGGUGAUGAUGGUGUAUGGUUAACAUACAGGUGAUGAUGGUGUUUGGUUAACAUACAGGUGAUGAUGGUGUUUGGUUAACAUACAGGUGAUGAUGGUGUAUGGUUAACAUACAGGUGAUGAUGGUGUAUGGUUAACAUACAGGUGAUG